ACUUGUUGUAUUCAGUAUUUCACGGUAAGGUCUACACUUGUUGUAUUCAGUAUUUCACGGUAAGGUCUACACUUGUUGUAUUCAGUAUUUCACGGUAAGGUCUACACUUGUUGUAUUCAGUAUUUCACGGUAAGGUCUACACUUGUUGUAUUCAGUAUUUCACGGUAAGGUCUACACUUGUUGUAUUCAGUAUUUCACGGUAAGGUCUACACUUGGUGUAUUCAGUAUUUCACGGUAAAGUCUACACUUGUUGUAUUCAGUAUUUCACGGUAAGGUCUACACUUGUUGUAUUCAGUAUUUCACGGUAAGGUCUACACUUGUUGUAUUCAGUAUUUCACGGUAAGGUCUACACUUGUUGUACACGGCGCAUGUGACAAAUAACGUUUGAUUUGAUUUGUAGACCCAAUGACAAUCGGCAAAACUUCUUGUUGUGUUGUAACAGUUGUCUCUUUCCAUUCAUCUAAUGGCACGAGGGCACAGUGCACUUUUUGGAUGCUGGAGUCAUUUUGGAGGGGACCAACUUCCGCAGUUAGCCUCCUUUUCUGAGGUGAUUUGUGUAAAUGUCAUGAUAUAAUCACACUCUGCCUUUGUGGAACCCACAGUACGUGACCUAUCCCAUUCUAAUCGGUAAGGGACUUUUGUGUGUGCGAUCGUAUGUUAACGUGCUUGUGUGUACAUGUGCGUCUGUGUGUGUCGGCCUUUACUGGGUGCAGGGAGGUGAUAGUAGUGGUACUGUGGGUAGAGGUACAGUGGUCAACAUGGUACAGGUGAGAAUAGGGUUUAGCCUAGAGGCUAAUUAAACUGACUAUUUGAAUUGAGGCCUGGCAUUGCCAGUCUGU